rnacentral:rRNA from 1 species
CCUACGGGAGGCAGCAGUGGGGAAUUUUGGACAAUGGGCGAAAGCCUGAUCCAGCAAUGCCGCGUGAGUGAAGAAGGCCUUCGGGUUGUAAAGCUCUUUUGUCAGGGAAGAAACGGUGAGAGCUAAUAUCUCUUGCUAAUGACGGUACCUGAAGAAUAAGCACCGGCUAACUACGUGCCAGCAGCCGCGGUAAUACGUAGGGUGCAAGCGUUAAUCGGAAUUACUGGGCGUAAAGCGUGCGCAGGCGGUUUUGAAGUCUGAUGUGAAAUCCCCGGGCUCAACCUGGGAAUUGCAUUGGAGACUGCAAGGCUAGAAUCUGGCAGAGGGGGGUAGAAUUCCACGUGUAGCAGUGAAAUGCGUAGAUAUGUGGAGGAACACCGAUGGCGAAGGCAGCCCCCUGGGUCAAGAUUGACGCUCAUGCACGAAAGCGUGGGGAGCAAACAGGAUUAGAUACCCUGGUAGUCCACGCCCUAAACGAUGUCUACUAGUUGUCGGGUCUUAAUUGACUUGGUAACGCAGCUAACGCGUGAAGUGACCGCCUGGGGAGUUACGGUUGCAAGNUUAAAACUUCAAAGNGUAGUUAGGCGNGAGAGAGCGACGACGACGACGACGGAGGAGGAGG